AAUGAAGUCAUGGGAACCU
rnacentral:misc_RNA from 1 species